UCUCUCCCCUGACUGGUACAGAUACCCCCACCACACUCACCCCUCUCUGUUCACCGUCUGCCCUGGCCUGUCUCCCCCUGACUGGUACAGGUACCCCCACCACACUCACCCCUCUCUGUUCACCAUCUGCCCUGGUCUGUCUCCCCCUGUCUGGUACAGGUACCUCCACCACACUCACCCCUCUCUCCCUGGCCUGUCUCCCCCUGUCUGGUACAGGUACCUCCACCACACUCACCCCUCUCUCCCUGGCCUGUCUCCCCCUGUCUGGUACAGGUACCUCCACCACACUCACCCCUCUCUCCCUGGCCUGUCUCCCCUGUCUGGUACAGGUACCCCCACCACACUCACCCCUCUCUCCCUGGCCUGUCUCCCCCUGUCUGGUACAGGUACCCCCACCACACUCACCCCUCUCUCCCUGGUCUGUCUCCCCCUGUCUGGUACAGGUACCCCCACCACACUCACCCC
ensembl:lncRNA